GAUGAAGAACGUAGCGAAAUGCGAUAAGUAAUGUGAAUUGCAGAAUUCAGUGAAUCAUCGAAUCUUUGAACGCACAUUGCGCCCGCCAGUAUUCUGGCGGGCAUGCCUGUUCGAGCGUCAUUUCAACCAUCAAGCCCCCGGCUUGUGUUGGGGACCUGCGGCUGCCGCAGGCCCUGAAAACCAGUGGCGGGCUCGCUAGUCACUCCGAGCGUAGUAAUACAUCUCGCUCAGGGCGUGCUGCGGGUUCCGGCCGUUAAAAAGCCUUAUUUACCCAAGGUUGACCUCGGAUCAGGUAGGAAGACCAGCUGAACUUAAGCAUAUCAAUAAGCGGAGGA
rnacentral:misc_RNA from 1 species